GAAAUAUUGAUGCAUUAGCAUUAAAUUAGAUGUUUAAUCCAUAUUUUCUUAGUAUUUACAUAAUUAUUUUUAUUUUCCAGAUCCCACCUAGAAUAUCAUAUUAUAUUUAGUUGUCAAGUCUCCUUCAGUUUGUCUUGGCUAUGACAGUCUCAAAAUGUAUUUGUUUUGAUGGCCUUGAAGCUAGCGUUGUAUAUUUUGAAGAAUGUCUCUCAGUUGGAUUGUCUGAUGUUUUUCCCACGAUUAGACUGGAUGACGGGUUUUGGGGAGGAAGACCACAAAGAGUUUCUGCUGAGAGAUCUGCUGUGAGUCUGAUGGACUUCCCUUUGUGGGUAACCAAAAACUACAAUCAGAUAUUACCACAAACAACUCUAUGCACAUAAACUAGUAAACCUGGAAGAAAUUGAUAAAUUCCUGGACACUUGCACUCUCCCAAGCUAAACCAGGAAGAAGUUGAAUCCCUGAAUAGACCAAUUACAAGGGCUGAAGUUGAGGCAGCAAUUAAUAGCCUACCAACCAAAAAAAGUCCAGGUCCAGACAGGGUCGCAGCCGAAUUCUACCAGACAUACAAAGAGGAGCUGGUACCAUUCCUUCUGAAACUAUUCCAAACAAUCCAAAAAGACGAACUCCUUCCCAAAUCAUUUUAUGAGACCAAUAUCAUCCUGAUACCAAAACCUUGCAGAGAUUCAACAAGAAAAGAAAACUUCAGGCCAAUAUCCGUGAUGAACAUAGAUGCAAAAAUCACCAAUAAAAUACUGGCAAACUGAUUGCA
rnacentral:lncRNA from 13 species